ensembl:lncRNA
AAACAGAUCUCUGCAGACUAUUUUGAAGCCACCAUAGGUAUUAGCCAGUCUUCCACCUCCCACUUCAUAUAACAAUUUCCAGAGGCAUUCUCAGGAGAGCCAAUCAAGAUAUUAAGUUUACCCACAGACAACCAGACUGCCAAUACCCUGCAGCAAGUCAGGAGAAGUAAAUAGGUUUUCUUUGUCUUCCAUCAACCUUUAGAUGCCAGAUUCUUCAGAGCCAAACAGAAGCCCCCUCUGCUGUCAAUGCUGGUUACAACAGCUGUGUUCAGGGCACUGCCUGAAGGAGAGAGUGAAGUUAAUAUUGUCCCUGCUGCUGUUCCUGUCAUCAUAUCCAAAGGAUUUGGGGUUGCCAUGAUUUUAACAGAGAACAUUAUCCUGGACACUAUUUACCUAACAGGUGGUUGAAGACAAUGAAAGUCAGUAGUUGUUGGCAGUUAUACUGAACUAUUAUUGCUUUUCCAUGUCUUCCUUUCCAGGCAACUUUGCAGUUCCUCUUAUAAAAAUACAAACUGGGCUUCAGUAACCCUGGAGCUCAGCCAAAGAACUGCUCUGGUCAGAGGAAUUUGGGCAUAAGUGACAGAGUGCUGGUCCCAAACUUAGGCAUUGACAGGCCUUGUCUAUUUCCAGUU